GGGAGAGGACAGCCCAUCUCUUCACUCAACCAUGGCUUUCUCAUGAUAGAUGAGAAGUAGUACUUCUAUAUUUUCCCCAUUGGUUUUCUCUCUCUGUAAACUUUGAGCCAACCACAAACUUAGACAAAGGCUGAAAACACAGCACAAAGGCCUGACUUUCCCAAACCAUUUCAGAACUUGACUCUACUGAAGGCUCCAGGGCAGUUACUCUGGAGAACCUCCCUGAUGUGGGUAUGUCUGAUCCUCCCUGAAGAUUAGAUUCAGGUUAGGCAUCUUUGGCAGGAACAUCACAGAA